CAAGGCUGACAAAUUUCCAUGUUUCCUGCCCGGGCACUUCCAGAGCCGCUGGAUUUCGCUUUCCGGAGGCAGGCACCGCACUCGCAGUGCCCAGGAGGUGGCGAGCUUUUGAUGCACAUCGCUCUCUGCUCCACUGCUCCAGAGCCCAGGACUUGCGGGAAGCAAAGGACUGCGGAGCCCGGAUCGUUCCUGGGGCGGAAUCCUGUGCCCAGGCGGGUGAGAGUGAGACAGAGGGGCAGGAUCCCCCUGCCCUGCUGCCCAGGCUGGGCUCAGCCCAGGGCAGGGGGUUCAGGGCUGGGCAGCUCCAGCUCUCCCCCACAGCACCCCCAGCUCCCUGUCCCAGGGCUGCUCCCUCUGCUCAUCCCAGCCUGGGCUGAGCCCUUGAGCUUGGUCUUGAUAACCUCAAGAAAUUGAUAAGGAACUCAUAGGGUGUGGCUCAGGUUGCCUCAAACACACAUUCA
rnacentral:lncRNA from 12 species